rnacentral:misc_RNA from 1 species
UUCUGUCAACUUUGGCGUGGUUGACAAAUGACAAAUCGCCUUUUGUGGAUUGACUCGUUUUUGUCUUUCAGUUUUUUGUGGCUUUUUCUUUAGGUAGUUCUUUAUUUUUAUUAGACUACAUAAUAUGUAGCGCCGAAUAAUAAUAUAGCAAGAAGAGUCACUCUAAAUCCCGCCCUAUUUUACGUUAUUUCCACGUGGCUGUGUUUUUUAGCGGAAGCUCUUAUUUGAAAUCGAGCAAAGGCCUGGCUUAAGGCUGCCGGAAGAGAAGAUCUUCAGGAAAAAAAUUUAAAAAAUUAUAAAUUGUGCGAAGAUCACUUUGAAACCAAAUUUAUUUCGGUCUCGUCAUCUGGUUUUAAACGUUUAUAUGAUACUGCUGUGCCGACAAGAUUUCUCAAACCAUCAUCAUCAAGAAAUGAGGAUAUUUUUGAAGAGCCCCCUGAAAAGAUUACAAUUUUGUCAGAUAUACCUCUGGAUGUCCUUCAACGACCUUUCGGGGUUACGCUCGAUAAAGAAUAUGUUACCAAUAUCUCCGAGGAAAUGGUAACUAGUGAAUUAAGCAUUGAUACUGGAUCCACUUGUCUCGCUGCAUCUCCUUUGAUAUCGCCGAUGUCUACUCAAACGCCAUCGACUUUGACAUCUAACACUCCUCGGAAAAGUAAAUUAAAAUGUAAGGUCCAUUUGUUAAGAAAAAAGUUAAUAUUUGCCAAAAAACAGUCCAUUACCGAAAAUAGGGAAAAAUCGUCCUUAUUAAAUUUCAAUAAGUUGUGCAACAAAUUUCUGAAUAAACCUUUAGCCGAAAUCGUUAAAUUACAAGCACUUCUUAAAAAUAAAGUUGCUAAAGCAAGAAGGUAUAAUGAAGAAUAUAAGAAAUUUGCCCUUACAUUGUACUUUUUACGUCCAAAAACAUAUAAAUUUUUAGAGAAACUUUUAAUUUUACCAACGAAACGCAGCUUAGAACUAAUGACUCAAAAUUUUAUUUGCAAACCAGGUUUAGGUAAUGAUCAUAUUUUCAACUCUCUGAGUCUUAAAGUUAAAACUAUGUCGGAGUUAGACAAACAUUGCAAUAUAUGCAUAGAUGAAACCUAUCUUAAGUCAAAUCUAUAUUUUGACACUGGUCGAGAUCAAAUUAUUGGAUUUCAUGAUAUUGGAACUAAGGAAAGAAAAUCGUCCCUUAUAGCUCAGAACGUGGCUGUAAUUAUGGCCAGAGGUUUAUUCAAUAAUUGGAAACACAACCGAUCGCGUUUUUUUUUUAAACACCAAUCGUAAGUCAGCAGAUAUUUUAGAAAUUCUUAAGGAAUGUGUAAAUAAAUUAUCAGAUGUUGGACUAUAUGUUCAAGGUAUUGUAACUGAUAUGGGGUCAAAUUUUAUACAAAUUUCAAAAUUGUUAAAUGUCACUACUGACAAUCCAGAAUUUAAUGUUGGUGAUUAUAAACUCACAUAUUUUUUUGACACUCCUCAUCUUAUUAAGGCCACAAAAAAUUAAUCUUAUGCAAAAUGUAUUCUGUUUCGACAAUAAAAAGACAAAAUCUUGGAAGUUUAUAGAAACUUUUUAUAAUAAUGAUAAAAAGCAACAAUAUAGAUGUGCACCCAAGCUCACGGAUGCUUACAUCUAUCCAAACAACUUUCAAAAAAUGAAAGUUAAGCUUGCUACGCAAGUAAUUAGCAGAACGGUAGCCAUUGGGUUACAGACGCAUAAUAUGACUCUGGGUGUACUUCCUGCUGAAGCACAAGCCACUCUUGAGGUAGUUGAAAAAUUUGAUAAACUGUUUGAUUUACUAAAUGCAGUGGAUUUUAAUCACCCUAAUCCGUACAAAACUGUCCGUCAAAAAUGAAAUGGGUUUAUUUUUAGCAAACUUAAAAAUUUUGAAUAACAAUAAUAUAGAUAUAACUUUGAAAUGCAAGUUUCGUACGUGCUGGAUGAUCACAAUAAAGUCCAUUCAAAUUCUCUGGCAUCGACUUUCUUCUAUUGGAUUUACCUAUUUAAAAAGGAUUUACCAAACCAAAAACAUGGAGAAUUAACCAAGAUUGCUUAGAAAAUUAUUUUGGCAGCGUUAGACAGCAACAAGGUAAUUCUGUAAAUCCAACACCUAUAGAAUUCCAAAGGGCAUUUAGGAAACUAUUUUGUCAAACUUUUUUGCAUUCUUCCUUUAUGAAUUGUUUCGAUGACUUGGGUAUUUUAUUAACACAAUUAAAGUCCGUCAAAAAGUCCAGAAUUUUAUUAAAAAUGUGGCACCAUUAAAAAACAUCAGGCAAUAACUUUACCAGAUUGUGAUUAUAGGCAUGAAAGUAUAACAACUCAAAAUGCCUUUAAUUAUGUCUGUGGCUACAUCAUUAAAAAGGGUCUUCAAAUACAUCAAUGUGAUAUUUGUCUAAAAUUUGCAAAAGAAUCCGAAUCUCUGGAUAACUCGAAAUUAUUUACCCAUUUAAAAGCCUUUAAUCAUGAUAGUGGCACUUAUGGGAGUUUAAAAUCGCCAAAUGAAAAAUUUGUUCAUUUUAUUUACAGGCUGGAAAAAUUAUUUACAUUAAAUUUUGAUGAGUUUUGUACUGAAGAAAACAUUAAUCAGAGGCUGUUUGGUAUAAUGAAAACUAUAGAAUUUGA